rnacentral:rRNA from 1 species
UACGUAGGGUGCGAGCGUUAAUCGGAAUUACUGGGCGUAAAGCGUGCGCAGGCGGUUUUGUAAGACAGCUGUGAAAUCCCCGGGCUCAACCUGGGAACUGCGGUUGUGACUGCAAGACUGGAGUGUGGCAGAGGGGGGUGGAAUUCCACGUGUAGCAGUGAAAUGCGUAGAGAUGUGGAGGAACACCGAUGGCGAAGGCAGCCCCCUGGGCUAACACUGACGCUCAUGCACGAAAGCGUGGGGAGCAAACAGG